GCAGGGAGUGAGGGAUCUUGGCUGGCUUUCCAAUUGCCUUGGAUUUCCAAGAUGACUUCAUUGUCUAAGACCUUGACCGUAACAACAAGCAGGAGGAGUUGAAUUUGUAAUGGUGGGCGAGGGAGCAAUACAGUAACUGGAAAAGAGAAGUGGCAGAAGGAGAACAGAAUCCACAACAGAGACAAGAUCCUGGCAGGAUGCUUAUGCCUUACAAUUCCUUCCUAACAAGGCUAUGAUGGUUGGUAGUGCAAGAUGCCACAUACAGAAGCUCAGUGCAUCAUGUGUUUAGACAAGCUCUAUUUCAUUUACUGCUUAUCCUGCUUGCAUAAUGCUGACCUUAGAAAGUCAACCUCCCAGUUGAAUUAUCUUAACUAUAGAAAUGGAUCUCCCAAAAUGGAUUUUAGUUAUAAUAGUAAAGUUUUUUUA